CUCACUUAUCCCAAGUACCAGUCUGUCUUCUCCUUGAAAUCUCCCAAUAUCUUUUCACUAAGGUAUAAAAACAGGAGACUAGCAGACAACUCUUGUGAUAACCAUUCACAUCACUGUUUGGCAUCUGGGGAAGACCAUCACCCAGGGCAGAAUGUCACCCUGCAGCUUAAGGCCGCAUCCUCUCAAGGAAUCCUGGACCUGUUAGAACCAUAAUGGGACCUGAGCACCAUUUUACAAAAUGCAUGUAAUGAAAACUGAGGACCCAGAGGGACAAUGACCCCAACCUACUUGGCCACCAUGAGCAACUAUACUUCAGAAAAGGAGUCUGUGGAUCUGUUCUGUCUUGUUUCAUCCAAGUGUGUCACCCAAGUGUCCUGGAAUUCUUUAGAAUAUGGAGCAAAACCCUACAUGUUUCAGGGAUAUGCUCAGGGAAGAAAUGCAGGAAAAACUUUUAAUGUGGAUAAAAGAACAUGGGAAA